rnacentral:rRNA from 1 species
CCUACGGGUCGCAGCAGUGGGGAAUAUUGCACAAUGGGCGCAAGCCUGAUGCAGCCAUGCCGCGUGUAUGAAGAAGGCCUUCGGGUUGUAAAGUACUUUCAGCGGGGAGGAAGGUGUUGCGGUUAAUAACCUCAGCAAUUGACGUUACCCGCAGAAUGAAGCACCGGCUAACUCCGUGCCAGCAACCGCGGUAAUACGGAGGGUGCAAGCGUUAAUCGGAAUUACUAGGCGUAAAGCGCACGCAGGCGGUCUGUCAAGUCGGAUGUGAAAUCCCCGGGCUCAACCUGGGAACUGCAUUCGAAACUGGCAGGCUAGAGUCUUGUAGAGGGGGGUAGAAUUCCAGGUGUAGCGGCGAAAUGCGUAGAGAUCUGGAGGAAUACCGGUGGCGAAGGCGGCCCCCUGGACAAAGACUGACGCUCAGGUGCGAAAGCGUGGGGGGCAAACAGGAUUAGAUACCCGGGUAGUC